CCUACGGGAGGCAGCAGUGGGGAAUAUUGCACAAUGGGGGAAACCCUGAUGCAGCGACGCCGCGUGAGUGAAGAAGUAUUUCGGUUUGUAAAGCUCUAUCCGCAGGGACGAAGCAAGUCGGUACAUGACUAAGAAGACCCGGCUAACGACGUGCCAGCAGCCGCGGUAAUACGUAGGGGGCAAGCGUUAUCCGGAUUUAUUGGGUGUAAAGGGAGCGUAGACGGGAUGGCAAGUCUGAAGUGAAAGCCCAGGGCUUAACCCUGAGACUGCUUUGGAAACUGUUAGACUAGAGUGCUGGAGAGGUAAGUGGAAUUCCGAGUGGAGCGGUGAAAUGCGUAGAUAUUAGGAGGAACACCAGUGGCGAAGGCGGAUUACUGGACAGUAACUGACGUUGAGGCGCGAAAGCGUGGGGAGCAAACAGGAUUAGAUACCCGAGUAGUC
rnacentral:rRNA from 1 species